UACCCUAAACCAAAUUACCACGACACACCACUGCCAAUACCAAAUGACGACAUAGUAAACACACCUGAAAACUAGCCACAAAGAAGAGAAGAAAUUCCUUUACCAACCAGCACUCCCCAAGAACCUGAAGUGAGGAGGAGCAUCAGGGUGAAAAACAAGCCUGCCUGGAUGGAAGACUCUGUCGCCUACACCAAUGAACAACCUAUGCCUGAGCUUCCUUUCCUCAUGUCCACCUCACCUACAUACAACCACGACUAUGUUAAUUUUAUUGCACAAGUGUCUAUUGCCAAAGAACUAAUGUCAUACAGGGAUGUUAAAGAGGACAGCAAGUGGGUUGAGGCCAUGCAGGCCGAACUGUCCGCACUGGAAGAAAAUAGAACAUGGGAACUAACUGCAAUACCAACAAGAAAGAAAACAAUUGACUCAAAAUGGGUAUACAAAAUAAAAUACAAUGUCGAUGGAUUAGUUGAUAAAUACAAAGCAAGACUUGUAGCUAAAGGUUACAAUCAGGAGUUCGGCAUAGACUAUCAUGAUAGCUUCUCACUAGUGGUCAAAAUGGUCACGGUUCGGUUACUUUUAGUCGUGGCAGUCGCAAGUGAUUGGCUAGUAUACCAGUUAGACAUCAACAACGCAUACUUACAUGGUUUUAUGGAAGAAGAGCUAUAUUUAAAACCUCCAGAGGGCUACUUUAAGGCUAGUAAAAAGCAAGUAUGUCGUCUAACCAAGAGCCUAUACAGCCUAAAACAAGUGGGCCACCAGUGGAACAAGGAGUUUACCUCAAAGCUUCAAUCUAUCGACUUCACCAAGUCAGAAGCUGACCACUGUCUAUUCGCAAAAGGAACAAAAGGAAACCACGUUGUAGUUGUGAUGUAUGUUGAUGACUUACUUGUCACGGUUCCUAAUGAAGAAGAGAUUUACGGAAUCAAAAGCGCCUUGAAUGAAGUCUUCACAGUCAAGGACCUCGACCAAGCAAGAUACUUUCUUGGAGUCGAAAUAGCUAGGUCAAAAGAAGGAAUCUACAUCAGUAAAAAAAAAUACACCAGAGAUAUUUUGCAAGAUACAAAGAUGAAAGAUGCAAAAGGAGCCACUUUCCCCUGCCUUCCAGCCUAAAACUAAAUACAAAGGAAGAGAGAUCUUACCAGAUCCAGAGAGAUAUAGAUGUCUAAUUGGCCGUUUACUUUAUCUUAAUUUCACCAGGCCCGAUAUUCCACUCAACAUCUCAGUCAGUUUAUGCAAUAACCCAGAUGGCCACACCUCAACGCCGCACUAUACGUUGUUAGGUACCUAAAGCAAUAUUCAGAGCAAGGCAUCUUCUUCCGAGAAAGAAUGACUUUAAAGUUUAAGCUUUUUAUGAUUCAGACUGGGCAUCGUGUCCGAUAGCCCACAAAUCGCUCAUGGGCUUCUGCAUCUUCCUUGGGCCUACACUGAUCUCCUGAAAAUCAAAGAAACAAGCUACGAUGAGUAAGUCUUCUACAAAGGCUAAAUACAGAAGUAUAUCAUCCACGGUGUGUGAAGUUCAGUGGAUAACCUAUCUACUUCGUGAUUUUUAAAUAACACUCCACUUACCCGUAACAUUGAACUGCGACAACAAAGCAGCCGAGUAUAUCGCAGCAAAUCCAGUUUUUCACGAAAGAACGAAACAUCUUGACAUCAACUGCCACAUAGUACGUAACCAGGUUCCAAAGGGCUUCGUUGAAACAAAUCAUGUCACCUCGAGGGAAUAGCUCGUGGAUUUGCUCACAAAACCCCUUAGGAACUUCAACAAAUCAUCGGCUUCUGUUCAAGAUGAAGCAU
rnacentral:lncRNA from 1 species